CCUACGGGAGGCAGCAGUGGGGAAUAUUGGACAAUGGGCGAAAGCCUGAUCCAGCCAUGCCGCGUGUGUGAAGAAGGCCUUCGGGUUGUAAAGCACUUUCAGUGGGGAAGAAAGCCUUGGGGCUAAUACCCUCGAGGAAGGACAUCACCCACAGAAGAAGCACCGGCUAACUCCGUGCCAGCAGCCGCGGUAAUACGGAGGGUGCGAGCGUUAAUCGGAAUUACUGGGCGUAAAGCGCGCGUAGGCGGUCUGAUAAGCCGGUUGUGAAAGCCCCGGGCUCAACCUGGGAACGACAUCCGGAACUGUCAGGCUAGAGUGCAGGAGAGGAAGGUAGAAUUCGCGGUGUAGCGGUGAAAUGCGUAGAGAUCGGGAGGAAUACCAGUGGCGAAGGCGGCCUUCUGGACUGACACUGACGCUGAGGUGCGAAAGCGUGGGUAGCAAACAGGAUUAGAUACCCCAGUAGUC
rnacentral:rRNA from 1 species